rnacentral:lncRNA from 1 species
AGGGGAUGGCUGAGUUCCCCACCCCCACCUCGAAACGGAUAUCCUAGUUACUAUGCACGUUUCCCUUCCUCACCCCCCCCCCAAAAAAACAAGCCCUUGGUUGCUGGCUCCCCAGAUUCGCAAUAGCAGGAGACUAUGUGCAAUAAUCCAGCCCUUCCUACAGCGCGUUUCCCUGGAGAGCCUUUCAAAGGUACCAAGUGCUUUAGACCACCUCUGCAUGUUUUCUCUCCGUCCCCCCCCCCCCCCGCUUUCUCCCAACCAGAUGGUGCUAAAAGACUUAUCCUCUCUUCCACCAUAAAAUCAGCCCUGCUGGCAUGAAGCUGACCCUUUCCACCUUGUUUUUAGAUGUUGCUUCCCGCUUCCCACCCCCCCUCCAGAUGUGAUCAUGAGAAACCUUUCCCCCCUCCUCCUUUCUUGAUGCCCAACUCAUACCUUUGACGAAAUAGCUCUUAUGCAGCUGACAAUCAGGGAGGACUUAAUUGCAGAGGCCAUACGGGUGUCAUGUGAGCCAGGGAUUGAGAGCGUGGAAGUGUGUGUGUUUGUGUGUGUGUGUGUUUGUAUGUUUGUAUGUAUGCACAGCACAUGUAGGAUGGCAUUGGGAGAAGGUAUCCCUGCAGAACUGGGCUUCUUUCCCUUUGUUUUUAAUUUUGCAUUUCUCAGGACAUUGGUAUUUUCUUUUCUUUUUAAAGGAUUAGUACUUUGUCCUGACUGUUAAGUGGGAUCAGGUUUUCCUCCCUAACAGGAGUGUUUGAGGUUUUUGGAAAGAUAAGGGUUCAGUACACCGACCCGCCUUGCAUAGCUCCUUAGUCAUAUGCUUCUUUGUUGUCUGUCCUCCUCAGCCACGCCCCCCCCAAAUUUGCACCCUUAAUUGGUGGCAACGCAGGACUGAGGCACCCCCAUUUAAUACCUCAGAUAUCGGCAAGGGAGAGGUCUCGGUAUAAGCAACCCGAAUCGCUUCUUGUAACAUCAGUCGAUUCCCAGAAUGCUGUUUUUGUGCCCCUUCCCCGGCCUGGAGCUUAGACCGAAUCAAAUCAAGCUGACAAUUUUCCCCAAGGUGCUGAGCUAAACUGAAGUGCCUUCAUUUGGGCAGAGGGCCCCCGCACACCUUCGUCGCUGAAAGCUUUUCGGCAGGGGCUAAACUGACUUCUGCAGGGUGAGGCCUAACAGCCGGCUGAGUAGGAGAAGAGAUUUAGGCUAAAAUUAAUCAGCAAAAGGUGUCUUGCGUUUCUGUUGAACUUUGCCUGUCACAAUAUUCCACUCAAAUGGCCAAAAGGGCAGCGCACCAUAGAGAUUUGGGUGCAGAACAACUGCCCCCCUACGCACAUCAUCGUCCUGUUACCCAAGUGGCAGUUUCCAGGAAAUGAGAGCUGGUUGUCUUAUUUUUUCGCAACUCAGUCUUUACUUCAUUUGGGGGCCAGCACAUCACAGCAUUCAAAAACGUAGUUUUGGGGUAGCACAUGACACACCCAACUUGUGCCAGCCAUAGCAGUUCCUUAGAUGAAGCUGUAAAAAGAUUCGGGCUCAAUUAAUUGGUUUUCUAGAGUGCUUCAAAUCUGGGCAGCAACCCAAAUAAUACUUUUGGUCUGCACGAACAUUUCCUUUCUUGCACCAGAUUUCCUGAUAUCCCACUCCCACCGCCCAAAAUUAAAUACAUCGCACAGCAUCAGAAGCCACUUUCCAAGUUUUCAGCUGAGUCCUCUAUGCAAUCCCUCUGGAUCACACCGAUCCAUUAGGAAUUUUUGUUUGGAUUGACAUGGCUAGAAGCUUCACAGGAGCACUUCUGCCACUGCCGUUAAUUUUAAUACAGCUUACGCAGGAUAAUUUCCUUGUGGGUUCUGCUUGUCCAACAUGAUCAGGUGUGUUGGGGUUUCAGGCAAAUGGUAGUACGUAACUGCUUAGAGAAUCACAGGUUUUGAAAGAAGAGAAAAAAGGAGCAUGGAGGUUUGUGAAAAUUGAGCCUUCUCUUAGAUUUACGUCUGAUUUAUUGCAUACCAAGAACCAAUUAAGUAUGUGAGCAUGAAAUUAUGUUCCCCUCCUAUAUUGGUUAUUUUAAUCACCGUUUUAUAUAAGGCUUCUGAUAACAAAGUUUUAAUGGAUAAACUCAGAUAAAUUAGCAAAGCUUGAAAUACACUAGAUAUAGACAUUCGAUGCUGGUGGCCAAAGAUGUGAUUUAUUCAGCCCAUGUAGGUAAGAUGCAUGUGGCCAUGUAAAAGCCUUGAUCGUCUUCAAAAGCAUGUCCUUAGAACUAAGUUGUAACAAUGGUUCAAUGCAAACAUAAUGUUUAAACAUGGUUCACAUUAACCAUGGCUUGCUGCUGCCUCUGAUUAGUAUUUCAGAAUAUACUGAAACCAUGGUUAGCUUCUGUUAACCUGCCCCUGGAGGGCAUGUAUAUAAUAAGACACCAGCAAGAUCUGCUUGCCAUCUUGCAGGCCGAAGGAUGGAGAAACUGUCUUAACCAUGGUUUGCUCAGUGCAGAAGGAACAUUUAACCAUGGUUUAGGAAGUCAGAUGUAAAGUAACACUUAAACCAUGGUUAAGGAAAACAAACCCCACUCAAAACAUGAUGUCUAUAUGGGACUCCCACUAUCCCUUUUUUCAGCUUAAUUCCGUUUCGAUUAUGACCCUGCUCUGGUUCCACGUCUGCAGUGCUAGCAAAAUAUAAAACAAAGGAAUAAACUCAGUUCAGCAAAAGUUAGUUGUAGCCAAAGGUUCAAUCCUCUAGGUCCCAUGAAUUCAGUAAGUCAGGAUUCAUAAGAUUCUGUUUAGGGAAAUAAGGAAUACAGCAAAGUCUGACAGCUCCAUCAAGGGCGCUCCAUGCAUGGAAACAGCAUUGUGAAGUGCGUAGGGAUGUAGUUGCAGAUAUUAAUCUAGAUGUACAUCUGGAUGCAAUAUUUAUCUGGGUCUUACUGAACUGGCUGGAUGUGUUCAUUGUGCAUAGGAAUGCAUAUGCACCUGAAACUGCCCAAUUGCCAUUUGUGACUAGUUAUCUAUAACAAGAGCUGGUUUGGAAGCAAGGAAUUCCCGGUAUCAUGGAUACAAAUACUUAAGUGCUGCUUUCAGAGUGACUGUGCAUCACCCUCCAUGAAAUAAUUUCUGCUUUCAAACCGGGGGCUGCAGACUUUAGCCUUGCUGGUGGGGUUGCUGUGCACGCCACAGAUUUCGUGGAUUGCGAAUCUUUUCGGGAUUAAAUUCCAGUUCAGAAAGGAGUGCAUUUUGGAAUGUUGUGGGAAUGGUCUUUUCAAUGUGUGUGCCUGUGUUUCAUGGCUGGCAUGCAGCUAUAUUAUUAAAUAAGUUUCAUUUCCCAAAACUGAGGUUGACCUCCAUCUCGGCAGUAGCUAACGUUGCAAUGUUUUCCUAGGCUAGUUGCAUUUUACUUCGGCGUUCCUUCAUCUCUCUCACUGCCCUGAAAGACUUGGCUUUACUAUAGGAUCAGCAUUUCACAGCAUAUCCGUCUUAUGCUAGGAACUCCAAUCUAUUUGCAGAAAGUCUCUCUGCAUUUGUUCAAGAGGAGCUGCCGUGGGCAGCCAGCAGCACAAAACUAAACAGAUGCCAUACAGCAACACACCUGGCAACCCCCUACAAAUCUCUUCCAUCCAGGUUUGAGUGCAGGAUUCUGCGCGUACGAGCCAUCCUAAACCGCUGCCCCAGUUUUCUGAAUCGGGGCAAAUUGCUUAGCUAUUGCCCAUGCUUCCUUCUCAUCCUCAGCCUGUUUAAAAAAUAGUUGUUCUGCAGACUUGUUUCAUUUGCUUUCUCCUCUGGUGUGGUUAAGAGCUCCCUCUAUUCUAGCCUCCCCACUCCCCCCGGUCAGUCGCUCUCUCAUUUGGACUAGGAGGCAGCUCUUGGUGGAAGUGGGGUGAGAGGAGGGAACGCAAAGGAAGGGAAGAGUUUGAGUCCCAUUUUGCAUCAAGGCAGCCUUUGGGACUGGAGACGUUAUUUGUGUUUGUCGAAACCCAGCAGAGGAGGACAGGAGCAGCCUCGACUUAAGCGUUCAUGCCGAUGUCCCUACCUCUUCUUUGCCACAUUUUUCUUUUGUUUGCCAAAGAUAUAAACAAGGUGUCCCAGGGCUAACCUGGUGCCACUCUGCAUUUUUUAAAAGAAAGAACAAAAACGGGGUUUCUACCUGAGCCGAGUCUUAAGCCAGAUGCAGCUGUCUAUUAAGGCCCGGUCCCAUGCAGAAAGGAAGCAAGGACUGGUUUAAGAACAGCAAGUAACACAAGACGCGCGCUCGAAAGAGAGGCUGAGGGUAGCGAGGGGAAGGGAGAGAUUGUGGCCAGGGCUGGGUGAGUAAGGAGAAAGGAUAGGGUGUAAAGGGAAGAAUUAGGGUAUGCGUAAGGCUGGAUGCUAAUGCAGUGUGAGAGAAAGUAAGAGUGCAGUGGGGGAAAGGUGGACGUGCACAGACCUGAGAGAUUGUGUGCUGCGGGCCCAGAUAGAGACCCUACACUUCGCCACUGCAAAGCUUACCCAUGGUCUUAAGCCCUGUUCUCACUCCCCACACCUUCCCUAAAGCACUUCCUAGCUUUUCUUUUCCUGAGGGGGACACCUAUGACAGACAAACGAGUCAUGGCAUUUGGGGUCCUUUGAUUCCAUCGUCCCAGGUCUGGAAGGGGGGUUAGCAGUUAGGAGAAACAUCUGAGAAAAUCCUACCCCGGCUUCAGAGGCCAGCUGUCGAAUGGCAUCGCUCAUCCCCCGCCCCCCCGACCACGCCAGCCCCAAACUGCUAGGAAGGCUCCUAGCUGCUUUUGUGCAGCACCUUUGCUUUAAGCCUGAUCUGCAGCUUUCUCAUGAGCAAAGUCGCGGUCUGAGCUUUCCGCUCACAUCCUCAUCGCUCCUUCCUACACUCUGGGAAUCGACCGCUGCGCAAAAGCAUGAAUUGUGAGCGUGCAUGCGUAGCAUAGGGACCGAAGGCAAAAAAAGAAGCAAAAACCCUGGGACCUAGGAGCAUGGACCUCUGAGCUGCUAGAUUUUUUUCUUUUAAUCUUGUGCCUUGAUUUCCCCUAUCCCAUUCUGCCAGUGGGGGGAACCAGUCCCUGCACUUUAAACUUCCAGUCUAGUAAAGGCCUCUCCCGACCUGCUCCUUCCCCACUUUGUGAAUGAAUGACCUUUCAGCCUUGUCCCACUCUAUGCCCAACAAGGCCUCUGUGCUCUUCUCUGGCCCAGCUUUCCCCUGCACAAACCAGCCCACCCCCCUUGUUGUCAUCUCCUGCAUCACGCUUGCCCCCCCCCAGCCUUCCCACCAUGCUGGAAGAGGAAGAGGAAGCAGCUGGCUGCCUCAAGAGACCUAGUAGAGUAGACUGUAGAUGAGCCUCAAAACCUUUGUCUUUCCUAAAUGCUGGUAUCUUUUUUUAUUAAAACAAAAACAAGCUCCACCAUCCAAAACUCUUUGCCUGCCGAUUCCAUGCUUGCAUCAAAACCCCGUCCUCCUUGGAAGUUGUUGGUGCUAUUUGGGGGAGGAAAAUAAAAUAAACCCGGUUCAGAACGUCCCUUCAUUUUUAUGCACACCAGUUCCAGUUUUUUUUUUGUCAUUCUUAGCUACACAUCUACCUCACAUGUACUUGCAGUUCAUUUGUACAUCCUGAACCGGCAAACUGCACCUUCUCCAGGGGGGGCGAGUUCCCCCACCUCACCCUUAGAAAACCCUCUGGGCUCCUCUGCUUUUGUUUCGAGGGGGUGGGUGGAAGAGAAAUGUUUGUCUUUUUAAAAAAAGAUUAAUAACCCCUGUGUUGCUGCUAAUUACUGGAGAGUUUUGUUAAGAUGUACCACAUUUUGCUUUUUAAAAAAAUUCCUUUGUAAAGUGUGUUGACGCUGCGUUAGUUCGUUUCUUUGAACUUGAGCAGAAAUCUUUGAUCCACAGGUAGAGCACAGUUUUGUGACCUCAGUGUGAGACCCCCAAGCAUGGCAAGAAUUAAUAAGUGAUGAAUGCUGCAAGUGAUGAAAGUUUCCACCUAGAAGUCCAGGAAUGGCAUAAGCCAUUGUUGGUUUUCAAAACAGCCUUUUUUAUUUUUAAAAGGGCUCGCUGAAGCAAAACAGUGGAUUUAUUUGGACCCCCUGGGAGCAGUUGAACGGUCAAAAGACACAGCACAUGGGAUCUUGCCUUUAAACCAGCCUGCCAUGAACAGGCUUUCAGACUCCAUACUCUGGGGCUCUAGCUAAAUACUGAGUUUGCAGGAAUCUGGUUUCCGUAAGAGAAAGGAAACCACUGGCCCCAGGUUAUGCAGGUGGUGACUGCAAAACAACAAACUGAACUAGCAAGGAUCCCGUUAGCAAAAAAUACUUGAGGGAAUGAACUUUUUGCCUUGGGCCAUGGCUUGCAGAAUCAAAAUGAGCAGAGGUAAAGGAAAUUUGGUGGGGGUAGAGUACUUGUGGUAUUGCUGUGCUGUUAGAAUUUCUAGUACUGGCUCACUGGAUAGGGAGCUGGAUGUAUUUGUCUAUGAUACAGGAUGGCUGCUCUAAGCUGCCCAAAAGUGAUUGCACAGCCAAGUAAGACACUUGGGAGCUAAUGGCUGUCAAACAGCAGCUGUUGCUCUUUGGGGAGCCUCUUCUAUCCAGAAGGAAGUGAUGCUCUUGACAAAUACCAAUACCUCAGCUCAAAACACACACGUACCCAGCACCAUCAAAGCAGACAGUGGGGUGGAGGCGAUACCAAACAUGCUAGCAAAUAAAGCAGAUAGUAUUCCAAGCCAAUUCUAUUCCAGCAGGGCCCAAGGUUGCGCUGUGGCCUCCUGCUUCCGUUUUUGCCAUGUGUUUCCUCUGUCAGAGGCAGUACCCCUAGAGCUGUUGGCGAUGGUGAGUUGGGCAAAAGGAGAAAAGUCAACGUUUCGUCUUCCAGAAAUCUCACUUUUUGUCUGUCCAGGAGCUAAAACAGUUUACGCUACUAACAUUCUGAGUGGCAAAAAAAAGUGAGGGUCAGUAACAAGUGUUUCCUCGAAAUAAUUUACUCGCUAGGAUCGCACCAGAAUAACGUUUUGUUUUUUAAAGAAAGGGUUUUCUUGAUUGCAGAGCACUUGGUGUUCUUCAGCUUUGCCUUCCCGUCUCUAGGAGGAAGCUCUGGUGGGGAUUCCAGCUCUGCUUUGAGCUAACGCAAGGCCCAAUCCACCCCAUACCUUGGGACAAAGUUCAUAGCUUGUCGGCACUUUCCUCUGGAGCAAUACGCCCUUGGUGGUUCAGAUGGUUGCACUGAUGCCUUGCCCUGUAGCAAAUGGCCUUUAAAGCAGAUAGCAAUAGGCACCCACUCUAAAGAAAUACCCAUCUCAUGCUGGUUCAUGUCUACAGCAGGCUACAGGCUAGUGUGUUUUUUAACACCCAAGUUCGUCAUCAUAACAUUGGAACAUAACAGCUAAAUUGUUGCUUUAAAAACACCACCACCACAUGCUUGCCAUGGAUGCAAAUGAGUCUCCUGUAAACAUGCAUUUGGCACUCUGAGCGAUGCCUCUGCCCUGUUUCUGACUCAAGUCAUUCAAAGCUCCCGGGAACUCUCCAAAGGCAACUCUUCUGUGCUUCCAUUUGCCACAGACACAGCGAGAGUUCUUGGCCCGCCCGCAACCACAGUCUCAGUUCAUUUUACCGGCUAGUUUUAUUUAUAUACUUAGGACUAUUUGUACAAGUUUUUUUUAAUUGAGAAGUUUCUAUAGUUUUGUAUCUUCCAUGCUACAGCCAGGCCUGUUUCUCUCUCUCAACCCCUGUACACCUUUCCCUCUGUGGAGCUCUGACUGGUCUCAUUUUGAACAAAUUUUUGUUUUUAAAUAAAAGGUG